rnacentral:rRNA from 1 species
AUACGAAGGGUGCAAGCGUUACUCGGAAUUACUGGGCGUAAAGCGUGCGUAGGUGGUUGUUUAAGUCUGUCGUGAAAGCCCUGGGCUCAACCUGGGAAUGGCGAUGGAAACUGGGCGACUAGAGUGUGGCAGAGGGUAGUGGAAUUCCUGGUGUAGCAGUGAAAUGCGUAGAGAUCAGGAGGAACAUCCGUGGCGAAGGCGACUUCCUGGGCCAACACUGACACUGAGGCACGAAAGCGUGGGGAGCAAACAGGAUUAGAUACCCUGGUAGUCCACGCCCUAAACGAUGCGAACUGGAUGUUGGGUGCAAUUUGGCACGCAGUAUCGAAGCUAACGCGUUGAGUUCGCCGCCUGGGGAGUACGGUCGCAAGACUGAAACUCAAAUGAAUUGACGGGG